rnacentral:lncRNA from 1 species
CAACUAUUGAAGGUACUUUUAUUUAUUUCCUUGGUGAAUUGAUUAAAUUGAUUCUUGACAAUGCUAUUUGGAACUUUUACAAGGAACGUUCUGCAAUAUAAAGCUCUAAACAGACUUCUUUAAUUGAUUUAUAAGUGGCAAUUUUCUAUGUGGAACUAAUUUAACAACAGGUAAAUUUAGGUCUUGUAGAGAAAAUAUUGAUUCUUGAUUCGGUUAUUAAACUCAUUAGUUGAAUUAGUUAGUGAGUUAGAAAAUCAGUUAGGAGUUUGGUUCUAACUAAUUUUCUGGUAGUCGUUGUAGCUGAAUAUUAGAUGUAUUUUCUUGUAAAUCUUUACAUUCCUAUGCCUAUAAAUAGGAUAGAGGGCUGAGAGCCUGAGAAUGUGAGCAAGUCUGAGAACGUAAGAAUGUGGGGG